rnacentral:rRNA from 1 species
UGGGGAAUAUUGGGCAAUGGGCGCAAGCCUGACCCAGCAACGCCGCGUGAGGGAAGAAGGUUUUCGGAUUGUAAACCUCUGUCGCAGAAGACGAAGGAAGUGACGGUAUUCUGUGAGGAAGCCCCGGCUAACUACGUGCCAGCAGCCGCGGUAAUACGUAGGGGGCGAGCGUUGUCCGGAAUUACUGGGCGUAAAGGGAGCGUAGGCGGUCUGAUAAGUUGGAUGUGAAAUACCCGGGCUUAACUUGGGGGGUGCAUCCAAUACUGUUGGACUAGAGUACAGGAGAGGAAAGCGGAAUUCCUAGUGUAGCGGUGAAAUGCAUAGAUAUUAGGAGGAACAUCGGUGGCGAAGGCGGCUUUCUGGACUGCAACUGACGCUGAGGCUCGAAAGCGUGGGGAGC